GCGGGCAAAGCCUUCGUCCUCCUCCGACCUCCCAUCGCCCCGUUCGUAGGCAAAGCCUCUCCCUUCGAAGUCUGGCUCUCGCGAGAGUCCCCGCGCGGAUCUGUUCCGGAAGAGUGCCCCUACAUGGUUUCAUCUCCCUGGGUGCACGUGUCUACUUGAAUCCGUGCCUCUUGGUUAUUUCGGCGCCUAUGCCUAUCGGAGAUCGAUUAUUGCGCUUCUUCUCCUCCCUCCUUCAUUUGGGAAGAUUCGAGAUAGGUUCCAAAGGGUUCUUGCUGUGGAAGGGUCUAUGGGUGCUGCGCUAGGGGUCUUGACACCGGGUAGAGUGUGACCUUUUGGUGGAGCCUCUCAAGGAACAAGGGUUCAUUUUGGCCACGCUUCUGGGUCCGUCUGCGUUCUUUUUCGACGGCGGAGAUGGCCAUCACUACAUUGUGGCCAUGGAAGUGUAUUGCGUCCCUUAUGUCGGCAAAUUGACAAUACAAAGCAACAGCAACCGAGAGAUCUGUUGUUCAUUCUUGGAUCACAUGCAAACUUAGUGAAGAAGAUGGUAUGUAGACAUUGUAUUUUAGCAAUUUUCGUCGAGUUGUUAAUCUGAAGCCUUACACACUGUUAGAUUAGUAUUGCUCUUCUUGUUGUUGUCAACAAACAGUAAUAUCUGAGGGAGAUCAUCUCGUACAUACGAUGGAUCUUUUCGAGACAGAUCUCAACUAAACAGGCUUACUACUAUAUUCUUCCUCUGUUUUCUUUCCUCCUCUGUUUGCUCUUUCAUGUCUCAUCUCUACUGCUGUACUCUCCCUUUUACUGUUGGAUCCAUCAAUAUGCUGUUUUCGGUGUGAUAUUGGAUAAACCCAUUGUAGAAUAGGUUUGGCUUUAAAACCUUUGUUGUAUCCUUAUAUGAGACGAGGACACAUCAUUUAUUAAACUUACUGUUCUCUUAGUAUUCUCAAAGGGUCUGUUCUCAAGCUCAAGUUCAUCAAUUAAUUGAAAUAAUUUGGUUUAUGAUUGUGAUGUUGGAUGCCUUGACACGUUAACCUGAUUAUUAUUAUUAUUAUUAUUAUUGAGAUCCAAUCUACAUGUGUCGUAAAGAAGCACAGGUGUUCAAUUUGACUCCAAUUAUUGAAGUUAGGUCAAACAAUAUACUGCUUAUUCGCUUGUGGAACUCUAGUUUCCUACUGUUAUCAUAGUUUGUGAAAGAUAAUUUUGUUACGUAAAACUCAUCUCCUAUAUGGAAUAGACAUGUUUGCAAUAUAGAAUCUGCUGUUUCAAUUAUUGGAGGAAGAACUCUCACAGGAGCUGCCCCUAUAAAGCUUUUGGCACACCAGAUGUCAUAAACUACAUGCAGAUGCUUGAAGCUAACGAAAGAAAGGUUGGUAAAGUUCGAUUUAUACCAACAGACAGUGUGACGACUCCUUCAUUCAAGCCAUGGAUGAGAAGGUAGAUAGCAUUGAUCAAAGUAAAUGUUAACCACACUACAUUUCCAAUGCUUAUUCUUCUCAAGGCAGACAGAGAAAGAGAAGAGAGAAAAAGAAGUGCCUACAGGAGAGAGAGAGAGAGAGAGAGAGAGAGAGAGAGAGAGAGAGAGAGAGAGAGAGAACAGGAAAAUUUGUGGUUGGCUGGACAAGCAAGUAUGACCACUUUUACAGGUGAAGAGAAGUGUCGACUUCUGUUUCAUUGGACAUCUUCAUGCUAACAUCACUGGACCACAAGCAUAAUGAGAGAGAGGUCUUAAACGACUGGAUUUCGGUGCAGUUGACAUGGUACUCGGCCUGAAGGGAUGAAGAAUCACACAGAGGUCUGGAAGGAUGUGCCAGGUCACGGCAGAAGAACCACUUGGAUUGUUCAGCUUCAGCAAUCAUUCGCAGUAUCCGCUUCUCCUCCCUCAUCUCUUUGAUUCGCUGCAGCUGCCUGAACCUCUCUUGCAGCAAUGCGAUGGAUGAGCAGCGGACUGUAGUAUCAUUACUUUGCCUUCCCAUGGAUCGACCGAAAUUGAUUCCACAAUCGGGAAUGGGUGGGUUGUGUUGCAGUGGGAGUGAUUUGGUUUUUUGGGGGGGAUUUCACAGGGUGUCUGGGAGAGAGUCAUGAAUUUAUAGGGAGCACGAGUUGUCUUCUUCCUUUCAUCCAUUGCAUGUCUCCUUAGCACUUGGUUGAUUCGGGACGAAUGUAAAAGCGAGAGGAGAAUCAGCAUUGGAGGUGCAAAGUCCAAGAAGGCAAGGCUUUUGUGGCUUUCUAAGGAGUUGGGUUUGGUUAAUUUGGAUCCAUGCAAAAAGACCUCUGAAUGGGGAACAGGAUCGGGAGAUAAGUCCAAAGGUUGGUGGAUUUAGCAUUUGGAGGGGCUUCUCCAAGGGAAUAACAGGUAAUUCUUACCUAUCACUUUGCCAUGCAGGAGAUGGUACUUUUUUUGUUAGUGCUUGUAAGCGUGCUCUUGCAGGUACCCAAAGGUGGAUAACUACUUCCAGACAUGGUUAUUCAUGUCUUCCAGCUUCCAUGCAUUAAAAUUUGAAUGUUCUGGACGGGGCUAAGUGAUCGUGAGAUGUGUUGCAGGUUGUGUUCAUAUCCUUGAUGUGUGAAUAUUUCCAGGCUUGCGUGAGGGGGCAUUUGGUGGAGGAAACACUGGUGUUGGAAGGGGAAUAUAUCUUGGGUCUGAUGAUGUCGUGUGGAGAAGAGUGUAUUAGGCUGUUCCUUUUCCAAAUCUACGCACAUCUUUUCUCCCACUUUAUUUUGUCCGGUGUGAUUGGAUGGAAAUGGCAUGCAGCCUCUGCAGAGCUUCCUGGUGGACUGUGAAAACUAACAGGGCACCUGCUUUUCUAUCUUAUCCUGCCUCCAUUCCAUUCCUUAUUGCCAAUCUCAAGAAACCUUUGUGUUUAUUUUCUUUUCAAUCUCUUCGAUGGGAGGCUUGGAAUCCAUCCACACUCUGAUCAUAGGCUUAGUUGGUGGAUGUUGAUCUCUUUUUCUUCUGAACCAGUUUCCUUUUGGCUUCGGUCGAGUGCAAAAUGUGGUGCCUACAAUGACAUUUCAAUGCUUCUCUCAUUCAUCUCAUCUUAUGAUCGGAUCUGUUUUGGGGUGUUAUUAAAGGCCAACCUUUGGAUGAAGAUUUAUGAAUCCUUUAGGUUUUGAUUUCUGAAUUGCUGCAGGAAAAAGUGAGUGAAAAUUUAACAGGAUUGGACAUCUGGCUAUGGUCAUAUUCUUGGAUUAUCUCUAGUGCAAUCAAUCCAAAUCAAAUUUAGCUUCUUGAUAAGGCAGAGUCCCCCCUAGAGGUAUGCUUCACCAGAUUUCUGUCCGACCAACUUGAAGAAGAAGAAGAAGAAGAAGAGUUUGAUACUUGCUUUGACACCUGAGCAUGAUGGUUGUGCAUGCAGGUGCACUUCUUCCUCCAUGUAAUUUGCAUGUAGGAUCUGAUGCAUCAAGUUGUGCCCGUGCACUACUUCCUCAGGUGCUUUUCUUUUGUCUCUGAUUUAUGGAUCGGCUCGGCCUACCACCAACACAUCUCCUCACCAGGUUGUAGUUUUGGGUGCAGCUCAAAGGUAAUCCAGUUCUGUUUGGUUGUAUCACUUUGGAUUCAUUCACAUGCAUCUUUGUUGAAAGGUGGAUUCCAGAUCAAGACUUAGCUCUUCUUAUCUGUGUUUAAAUCAGGUCUUAAUCUUUUUCCAUCUUUAAAUAUGCAGUACAUUAUCCAUGCGUAUCAGAUGCUAACUAUGGGGAUUGAAGCUCUAAUCUUUUGGCUCUAAUUUGCUUGCAUUAAUCUUCUUCAACAGAUUCUUAGUUUGUUCUGUUCCCGUGUUAUCGUUGUUAUGUUCUUGCAGCAUAUAUAGAUGUGAAUGCCUUCGACACUUGCACUAAGUCGACCAUUAACUAAUAAUAUCAAUAUUACAGUACAACACAACACAUGAUGGCUCGAUUGCAGCCUCCCUUCACGUACCGUUACACCACCAUUUUAGAGGAAGACGACCGACAACGACGACGUCAAUGCACGCAGGAAGGCAGCGGGAGAUGAUCACUUGCCGGGGACGAAGUUGGUGGCGUAGGCCCAGGCGUUGUUGGCGACGGGGUCGGCGAGGUGGUCGUAGAGGUUCUCGAUGGGGCCCUUGCCGGUCACGAUGGCCUGCACGAAGAAGCCGAACAUGGAGAACAUGGCAAGGCGGCCGUUCUUGA